rnacentral:rRNA from 1 species
UACAGAGGUCUCAAGCGUUGUCCGGAAUCAUUGGGCGUAAAGCGCGCGUAGGUGGCUUCGUAAGUCCGUUGUGAAAGUCAAAGGCUCAACCUUUGAAUGCCGAUGGAUACUGCGAAGCUAGAGUACGGAAGAGGCGAGUGGAAUUCCUGGUGUAGCGGUGGAAUGCGCAGAUAUCAGGAGGAACACCAAUAGCGAAGGCAGCUCGCUGGGACGUUACUGACACUAAGGCGCGAAAGCGUGGGGAGCGAACAGG